UACGUAGGCAGCAAGCGUUGUUCGGAGUUACUGGGCGUAAAGGGUGUGUAGGCGGUUUUUUAAGUUUGGUGUGAAAUCUCCCGGCUCAACUGGGAGGGUGCGCCGAAUACUGAGGGACUAGAGUACGGGAGAGGAAAGUGGAAUUCCUGGUGUAGCGGUGAAAUGCGUAGAUAUCAGGAGGAACACCGGUGGUGUAGACGGCUUUCUGGACCGACACUGACGCUGAGACACGAAAGCGUGGGUAGCAAACAGG
rnacentral:rRNA from 1 species